rnacentral:snRNA from 1 species
UUUCUUGGGCAGUACAUACACUAAAAUUGGAACAAUAUAGAACAAGUAAGUGUUGCUCCUCCACAUGGAUGACAUGAAAACUUAUGAAAGUACCAUAUUUUU